CGGAGGAUCCAAGCGUUAUCCGGAAUCAUUGGGUUUAAAGGGUCCGUAGGCGGUUUGGUAAGUCAGUGGUGAAAGCCCAUCGCUCAACGGUGAACGGCCAUUGAUACUGCCAGACUUGAAUUAUUAGGAAGUAACUAGAAUAUGUAGUGUAGCGGUGAAAUGCUUAGAGAUUACAUGGAAUACCAAUUGCGAAGGCAGGUUACUACUAAUGGAUUGACGCUGAUGGACGAAAGCGUGGGUAGCGAACAGGAUUAGAUACCCUGGUAGUCCACGCCGUAAACGAUGGAUACUAGCUGUUGGGGGCAACUUCAGUGGCUAAGCGAAAGUGAUAAGUAUCCCACCUGGGGAGUACGUUCGCAAGAAUG
rnacentral:rRNA from 1 species